rnacentral:misc_RNA from 1 species
UUCAAAACUUCCAUUAAAAUACCACGUGAGAUAAAUGGUGCUAGCAACCUAUUAAGAAGCUGACGUCUUCCCGGAUCAGAGAAUACUAUUUGACCUAGCUUUGCACGAUCAACUUCUCCAUUUUCCAGUAAGAUAUCCUCACCAAAUGCGGCAACAACCUUUUUCCAACCACCUGUUCCUUUCUUCAAAACGUUCCGAGCUACAAUGUCAGCAUCGACAACGGGAAUACCAUGAGCCUUGAAAAGGUUGGAGACAGUGCUCUUCCCUGAAGCAAUCCCUCCGGUCAGUCCGACUAUCCUCAUUCUUAUUUUGAGAACAAAACAAGAGACGAGGAACAACUCCAGUACUCCAGCUGCUCAAACUCAGUUUCUUCCGCUGCUUCUCUCACGAUUCCAUCAGCCAACUAGCUUCAGAUGGCAAGAGAGAAUAGUGCUUUGACUCUGGUCGGAUUCGAGAUCGGAAUCGCCGGAGGCUCAGUCGGUAUUCAGUCGCCGGCAGAGUGGAG